UAUUGUUCUUCAACGAGGAAUCCCUAGUAAGCACAAGUCAUCAGCUUGUGCUGAUUACGUCCCUGCCCUUUGUACACACCGCCCGUCGCUACUACCGAUUGAAUGGCUUAGUGAGGCCUUCGGAUUGAGAUUUGGAGGCUGGUAACAGACUCCGGAUUUUGAGAAGUUGGUCAAACUUGGUCAUUUAGAGGAAGUAAAAGUCGUAACAAGG
rnacentral:rRNA from 1 species